rnacentral:rRNA from 1 species
UUUAAUUCGAAGCAACGCGAAGAACCUUACCAGGUCUUGACAUCCAGUGCAAACCUAAGAGAUUAGGUGUUCCCUUCGGGGACGCUGAGACAGGUGGUGCAUGGCUGUCGUCAGCUCGUGUCGUGAGAUGUUGGGUUAAGUCCCGCAACGAGCGCAACCCUUGUCAUUAGUUGCCAUCAUUAAGUUGGGCACCCUAAUGAGACUGCCGGUGACAAACCGGAGGAAGGUGGGGAUGACGUCAAGUCAUCAUGCCCCUUAUGACCUGGGCUACACACGUGCUACAAUGGACGGUACAACGAGAAGCGAACCUGCGAAGGCAAGCGGAUCUCUUAAAGCCGUUCUCAGUUCGGACUGUAGGCUGCAACUCGCCUACACGAAGCUGGAAUCGCUAGUAAUCGCGGAUCAGCACGCCG